rnacentral:rRNA from 1 species
CCUACGGGUGGCAGCAGUCGAGAAUCAUUCACAAUGGGGGAAACCCUGAUGGUGCGACGCCGCGUGGGGGAAUGAAGGUCUUCGGAUUGUAAACCCCUGUUAUGUGGGAGCAAAUUAAAAAGAUAGUACCACAAGAGGAAGAGACGGCUAACUCUGUGCCAGCAGCCGCGGUAAUACAGAGGGCUCAAGCGUUGUUCGGAAUCACUGGGCGUAAAGGGGGUGUAGGCUGUGUCGUAAGUCGUGUGUGAAAGGCGCGGGCUCAACCCGCGGACGGCAGAUGAUACUGCGAGACUAGAGUAAUGGAGGGGGAACCGGAAUUCUCGGUGUAGCAGUGAAAUGCGUAGAUAUCGAGAGGAACACUCGUGGCGAAGGCGGGUUCCUGGACAUUAACUGACGCUGAGGCACGAAGGCCAGGGGAGCGAAAGGGAUUAGAUACCCUGGUAGUC